UUUGAGGUAGCCUACCGGUUAGGCAGCGGGCUGUAAACUCGUGGUUAAUACCAAAGUUGGUUCGAUUCCAACCCUCCACA